rnacentral:RNase_P_RNA from 1 species
GCCGAAUAAUCGCGCCUGAACGUAUCAGGUGAGGAAAGUCCGUGCAUUCAAGGACAGACCGCCGGAGAAAUUCCGGACGACGCGAGUCGGUGGAUAGGACCACAGAAAAUAUACAGCCUGAUUUUUCAGGCAAUGGUGCAACGGCGAGGUAAGAGCUCACCGGCGAUUACUGAGAAGUAUCGGCCAGGCAACCCCCGGUAGAAUGCAAGGUUAAAUUGAGGGCUACAAAGGCUGUCCGCCAACCUCAGACAAACCGCUUGAGAUUGAAAGUAAUUUCAAUACCAGACAGAUGAUUAUUUAGAAACAGAACACGGCUUAUGAACUGCUUU